rnacentral:rRNA from 1 species
UAUGAGGUCUGGCAUUGGAAUGGGUACAAUUUAAAUCCUUUAACGUGGAUCUAUUGGAGGGCAAGUCUGGUGCCAGCAGCCGCGGUAAUUCCAGCUCCAAUAGCGUAUAUUAAAGUUGUUGCGGUUAAAAAGCUCGUAGUUGGAUCUGCGGUCAAGGGAAGUGGUCCUCCGACGGAUGGUUACUGCUUUUCCUGACCUAACUUCUUCGGUUUUCCCUUGAUGCUCUUUACCGAGUGUUUUGGGUGACCGAAACGUUUACUUUGAAAAAAUUAGAGUGCUCAAAGCAGUCGUACAGACUGAAUAGUGGUGCAUGGAAUAAUAAAAGAGGAUCUCGGUUCUAUUUUGUUGGUAUUGGAUUGAGAUAAUGAUCGACGGGGAUAGACGGGGGCAUUCGUAUUGCGACGUUAGAGGUGAAAUUCUUGGAUCGUCGCCAGACGAACAACUGCGAAGGCAUUUGCCAAGAAUAUGCUCUUCAAUCAAGAACGAAAGCGAGAGGCGCGAACGCGAUCAGAUACCGCGGUAGUUCUCGCCGUAAACGAUGCCAACUAGCGAUCCGCCGGAGUUAAAUGAUGACUCGGCGGGCAGCUUCCGGGAAACCAAAGUUUUUGGGUUCCGGGGGAAGUAUGGUUGCAAAGCUGAAACUUAAAGGAAUUGACGGAAGGGCACCACCAGGAGUGGAGCCUGCGGCUUAAUUUGACCCAACACGGGGAAACUCACCCGGCCCGGACACCGUAAGGAUUGACAGAUUGAGAGCUCUUUCUUGAUUCGGUGGGUGGUGGUGCAUGGCCGUUCUUAGUUGGUGGAGCGAUUUGUCUGGUUAAUUCCGAUAACGAACGAGACUCUAGCCUGCUAAAUAGACAGUGAAUCGUUAGUUCAUUGUACUUCUUAGAGGGACAAGCGGCAUCUAGCUGCACGAGAUUGAGCAAUAACAGGUCUGUGAUGCCCUUAGAUGUUCGGGGCUGCACGCGCGCUACACUGAAGGAAUCAACAUGCAUUCCAACCUUACCCGAAAGGGUUUGGUAACCCGUUGAAACUCCUUCGUGAUUGGGAUAGGGACUUGCAAUUAUGGCCCUUGAACGAGGAAUUCCCAGUAAGUGCGGGUCAUCAGCUCGCGUUGAUUACGUCCCUGCCCUUUGUACACACCGCCCGUCGCUACUACCGAUUGGAUGGUAAAGUGAGUCGUAUGGACGCAUGUCGAGACAGCCUCACGGCUGCCUCGGUCUUUGCGAAAAUUC